rnacentral:rRNA from 1 species
UACGUAGGGGGCGAGCGUUGUCCGGAAUUAUUGGGCGUAAAGGGCUCGUAGGCGGUCUGUCGCGUCGAAAGUGAAAACCCAGGGCUUAACCCUGGGCCUGCUUCCGAUACGGGCAGACUAGAGGUAUGCAGGGGAGAACGGAAUUCCUGGUGUAGCGGUGAAAUGCGCAGAUAUCAGGAGGAACACCGGUGGCGAAGGCGGGUCUCUGGGCAGUAACUGACGUUGAGGUACGAAGGCCUGGGUAGCAAACAGG